rnacentral:rRNA from 1 species
AUUGAACGCUGGCGGCAUGCUUUACACAUGCAAGUCGAGCGGCAGCGCGGGGGCAACCCUGGCGGCGAGCGGCGAACGGGUGAGUAAUGCAUCGGAACGUAUCCUGUAGUGGGGAAUAACUCACCGAAAGGUGAGCUAAUACCGCAUAAGCUCUGAGGAGGAAAGCGGGGGGACCGAAAGGCCUCGCGCUGCAGGAGCGGCCGAUGUCCGAUUAGCUAGUUGGUGAGGUAAAGGCUCACCAAGGCGACGAUCGGUAGCUGGUCUGAGAGGAUGAUCAGCCACACUGGGACUGAGACACGGCCCAGACUCCUACGGGAGGCAGCAGUGGGGAAUUUUGGACAAUGGGGGAAACCCUGAUCCAGCCAUGCCGCGUGAGUGAAGAAGGCC